rnacentral:rRNA from 1 species
UUUUAGAAGUAAUCUCAUUACUAAAAUAUUACAAGUUAUAUCUUUUAAAUUUAAAGGAUGUGGCGGUGUUUUAGUCCAGUUAGAGGAACCUUUUGAGUAAACGAUACACCACGUAAUGAUUUACCUGCCUUUAUAGCUUGUAUACCGUCAUUAUUAGAUAACUCUCGUAAGAUUAGUUAGUUCAGUAAACUAUUGCUUAAUAUAGUAGAUCAAGGUGCAGCCAAUGAGUAGGCCUCCAAUGGGUUACAAAAAACUUACUUAUACGAAUUCUAUGAUUAAACUUUUUCAUUAAGGAGGAUUUAAAUGUAAGGCUAGUUUAAUAAUCUAACCUGAUAAUUGAUCUAAAUCAAGUACUUAUCCACCAUUGCUU